rnacentral:rRNA from 1 species
AUCAGGCGUCGAGCGGCGGACGGGUGAGUAAUACUUAGGAAUCUACCUAGUAGUGGGGGAUAGCUCGGGGAAACUCGAAUUAAUACCGCAUACGACCUACGGGAGAAAGGGGGCAACUUGUUGCUCUCGCUAUUAGAUGAGCCUAAGUCGGAUUAGCUAGAUGGUGGGGUAAAGGCCUACCAUGGCGACGAUCUGUAGCUGGUCUGAGAGGAUGAUCAGCCACACCGGGACUGAGACACGGCCCGGACUCCUACGGGAGGCAGCAGUGGGGAAUAUUGGACAAUGGGGGCAACCCUGAUCCAGCCAUGCCGCGUGUGUGAAGAAGGCCUUUUGGUUGUAAAGCACUUUAAGCAGUGAAGAAGACUCCGUGGUUAAUACCCACGGACGAUGACAUUAGCUGCAGAAUAAGCACCGGCUAACUCUGUGCCAGCAGCCGCGGUAAUACAGAGGGUGCAAGCGUUAAUCGGAAUUACUGGGCGUAAAGCGAGCGUAGGUGGCUUGAUAAGUCAGAUGUGAAAUCCCCGGGCUUAACCUGGGAACUGCAUCUGAUACUGUUAGGCUAGAGUAGGUGAGAGGAAGGUAGAAUUCCAGGUGUAGCGGUGAAAUGCGUAGAGAUCUGGAGGAAUACCGAUGGCGAAGGCAGCCUUCUGGCAUCAUACUGACACUGAGGCUCGAAAGCGUGGGUAGCAAACAGGAUUAGAUACCCUGGUAGUCCACGCCGUAAACGAUGUCUACUAGUCGUUGGGUCCCUUGAGGACUUAGUGACGCAGCUAACGCAAUAAGUAGACCGCCUGGGGAGUACGGCCGCAAGGUUAAAACUCAAAUGAAUUGACGGGGGCCCGCACAAGCGGUGGAGCAUGUGGUUUAAUUCGAUGCAACGC